UACACAAUCUUUUAAUUUGAAAGAUAUUAUUUGUUAUUACACUUACUCCAACAAAUCUAAAGAAUAUAUUUUCUUUUUUUUUUUCCCUUUUUUUUUAUUUUGUUUGCCAAAUUUUUUAUCCAUUAACAGAAAUUUAUGAGCUCACUUCCUACUCCUAGACAAAUCUUUGAUCUACUGGUUCUUGACACAAAAAUACAAAUCGUUUUAAUAAUUAUUUGUGUAUAAUUGUGUUUUAAAUCUAGUCAGAGUUCCAGUGUUCUCUGAGAAACGAUGGCGUUGUGGACUGUCUAUCUGUCUCUCUGUCUUCUGGUCGCUUUGAAUGCUUCGGUGGAAACGGGUCCUGUUGAAAAUAAAGAUUGUGGCAUCUGUAAGGCAGGAUGGACUGCCUAUGGAUGCAGAUGCUUCAAGUUUUUCAAUGACCCUUCAUCAUGGUCUUAUGCCG